AGAGUUUGAUCCUGGCUCAGGAUGAACGCUAGCGGCAGGCCUAACACAUGCAAGUCGAGGGGCAUCACGAGGUAGCAAUACUUUGGUGGCGACCGGCGCACGGGUGCGUAACGCGUAUGUAACCUACCUAUAACAGGGGCAUAACACUGAGAAAUUGGUACUAAUUCCCCAUAAUAUUCGGAGAGGCAUCUCUCCGGGUUGAAAACUCCGGUGGUUAUAGAUGGACAUGCGUUGUAUUAGCUAGUUGGUGAGGUAACGGCUCACCAAGGCAACGAUACAUAGGGGGACUGAGAGGUUAACCCCCCACACUGGUACUGAGACACGGACCAGACUCCUACGGGAGGCAGCAGUGAGGAAUAUUGGUCAAUGGACGCAAGUCUGAACCAGCCAUGCCGCGUGCAGGAUGACGGCUCUAUGAGUUGUAAACUGCUUUUGUACGAGGGUAAACGCAGAUACGUGUAUCUGUCUGAAAGUAUCGUACGAAUAAGGAUCGGCUAACUCCGUGCCAGCAGCCGCGGUAAUACGGAGGAUUCAAGCGUUAUCCGGAUUUAUUGGGUUUAAAGGGUGCGUAGGCGGUUUGAUAAGUUAGAGGUGAAAUCCCGGGGCUUAACUCCGGAACUGCCUCUAAUACUGUUAGACUAGAGAGUAGUUGCGGUAGGCGGAAUGUAUGGUGUAGCGGUGAAAUGCUUAGAGAUCAUACAGAACACCGAUUGCGAAGGCAGCUUACCAAACUAUAUCUGACGUUGAGGCACGAAAGCGUGGGGAGCAAACAGGAUUAGAUACCCUGGUAGUCCACGCAGUAAACGAUGAUAACUCGUUGUCGGCGAUACACAGUCGGUGACUAAGCGAAAGCGAUAAGUUAUCCACCUGGGGAGUACGUUCGCAAGAAUGAAACUCAAAGGAAUUGACGGGGGCCCGCACAAGCGGAGGAACAUGUGGUUUAAUUCGAUGAUACGCGAGGAACCUUACCCGGGCUUGAAAGUUACUGACGAUUCUGGAAACAGGAUUUCCCUUUGGGGCAGGAAACUAGGUGCUGCAUGGUUGUCGUCAGCUCGUGCCGUGAGGUGUCGGGUUAAGUCCCAUAACGAGCGCAACCCCUACCGUUAGUUGCCAUCAGGUCAAGCUGGGCACUCUGGCGGGACUGCCGGUGUAAGCCGAGAGGAAGGUGGGGAUGACGUCAAAUCAGCACGGCCCUUACGUCCGGGGCUACACA
rnacentral:rRNA from 1 species